rnacentral:rRNA from 1 species
ACGGAAGGCAGCAGUGGGGAAUAUUGGGCAAUGGGCGAAAGCCUGACCCAGCAACGCCGCGUGAAGGAAGAAGGCCUUCGGGUUGUAAACUUCUUUUAUCAGGGACGAAGAAUGUGACGGUACCUGAUGAAUAAGCCACGGCUAACUACGUGCCAGCAGCCGCGGUAAUGCGUAGGUGGCAAGCGUUAUCCGGAUUUACUGGGUGUAAAGGGCGCGUAGGCGGGGAUGCAAGUCAGGUGUGAAAUCUAUGGGCUUAACCCAUAAACUGCAUUUGAGACUGUAUCUCUUGAGUGUCGGAGAGGUAGAUGGAAUUCCUAGUGUAGCGGUGAAAUGCGUAGAUAUUAGGAGGAACACCAGUGGCGAAGGCGAUCUACUGGACGAUAACUGACGCUGAGGCGCGAAAGCGUGGGGAGCAAACAGGAUUAGAUACCCUGGUA